UGGAAGUCUCAAAAACGUAACAAGGUUUCCGUAGGUGAACCUGCGGAAGGAUCAUUACAGAGUUCAUGCCCGAAAGGGUAGACCUCCCACCCUUGUGUAUUAUUACUUUGUUGCUUUGGCGAGCUGCUCUUCGGGGCCUUGUAUGCUCGCCAGAGAAUAUCAAAACUCUUUUUAUUAAUGUCGUCUGAGUACUAUAUAAUAGUUAAAACUUUCAACAACGGAUCUCUUGGUUCUGGCAUCGAUGAAGAACGCAGCGAAAUGCGAUAAGUAAUGUGAAUUGCAGAAUUCAGUGAAUCAUCGAAUCUUUGAACGCACAUUGCGCCCCUUGGUAUUCCGGGGGGCAUGCCUGUUCGAGCGUCAUUUCAACCCUCAAGCUCAGCUUGGUAUUGAGUCCAUGUCAGUAAUGGCAGGCUCUAAAAUCAGUGGCGGCGCCGCUGGGUCCUGAACGUAGUAAUAUCUCUCGUUACAGGUUCUCGGUGUGCUUCUGCCAAAACCCAAAUUUUCUAUGGUUGACCUCGGAUCAGGUAGGGAUACCCGCUGAACUUAAGCAUAUCAUAGGGGGGGAGGAAA
rnacentral:rRNA from 1 species